rnacentral:lncRNA from 1 species
GUGGCAGUGGUUAUCCUUUGAAAAACUACUUAAUUAAUUCUUUGUCUCAUCCCCAGACUCUCUCUGAAAAUAGAAUCAAUAUAAGUUAUAAUGGAACUCAAUGAGUGACUGGAAUGAUAAUGAAGAAUGCAUUAGGAAUCCUUCUGAAUGGGACAUGAACGUCCUCUUCAAUCUAGUGGAGACUUACCAUGCCGUCCUUCAGUCCUAGGAACUCUUUGGAGACAUGGUACAAAGUCGAAGAGAAGUGCAUGAAAAGACACCAGGAGUUGGAGAAGACAUUAGUUGCUGGACUCAGAGUAUGAGUACAGUCAUGUAGGGCUCCUUAGGAAUUAGGAGAGUACCAAGGAGGAGAUUCAGUUUCUUUUCUAGAUUACAAGAAACCCCCACAACUUCCCAUUGAUACUGUUGCUGAGAACAAAUUGCCAGUAAGAUGAUAUCUACAGAGCAAGGUGUAGGAGUUCUACAUUUGUGCGUAAGCCCAAUUAUACACAGAACUGUGAAUGAUCUAAACUUGGCAAGAGAAAUAAGGUAUCAUUUUACUACCAGCUGCGCACUCCAUGAAGGCAAGAAGUUCUCAUUCUGUCUGAAUGCUGAUUGGCUUCAGUUUAUAAAGAACCCGUUCCCCUGAAGCUGACUUAUUUACCCUUUUAUUUCUUUUCCUAUAAGCCUAUGUUAAACAAAAACUUGCUUGUCACUAGACAUCUUUUGGCUCACAUGAAAAUCACAGAGCAGAAGUGGAGAGAACUACUUUCUUGAUUAAGCAGUUAGAUCAUUUUUCUUAAAAGUGUCUAGGACUGCAUAUGGUCCAGUGCAUCUUUUCCUCCACAAUGGCCUCCAAAACCCUCCUCAGAAUAAAGUCCUUACUUUCUCAGAUAUCUUUUCA